CCCUUAGAUGUUCUGGGCCGCACGCGUGCUACACUGAGUAAUUCAAUGGGUAAGGGAACGCUAGAGCAUUACCUAAUCUUGAAAUUUGCUCGUGAUGGGGAUCGACGGUUGCAAUUUUCCGUCGUGAACGAGGAAUACCUUGUAGGCGCAUGUCAUCAUCAUGCGCCGAAUACGUCCCUGCCCUUUGUACACACCGCCCGUCGCUCCUACCGAUUGAGUGAUCCGGUGAGGCUCUGGGACCUUGACGGAAAGAGCGUUUCGCUUGUUCUGUUUGGGAAACUUGGUCGAACCUUAUCAUUUAGAGGAAGGAGAAGUCGUAACA
rnacentral:rRNA from 1 species